rnacentral:rRNA from 1 species
GAUGAACGCUGGCGGCGUGCCUAAUACAUGCAAGUCGAGCGAACAGAUGAGGAGCUUGCUCCUCUGACGUUAGCGGCGGACGGGUGAGUAACACGUGGAUAACCUACCUAUAAGACUGGGAUAACUUCGGGAAACCGGAGCUAAUACCGGAUAAUAUAUUGAACCGCAUGGUUCAAUAGUGAAAGACGGUUUUGCUGUCACUUAUAGAUGGAUCCGCGCCGCAUUAGCUAGUUGGUAAGGUAACGGCUUACCAAGGCAACGAUGCGUAGCCGACCUGAGAGGGUGAUCGGCCACACUGGAACUGAGACACGGUCCAGACUCCUACGGGAGGCAGCAGUAGGGAACCUUCCGCAAUGGGCGAAAGCAUGACGGAGCAACGCCGCGUGAGUGAUGAAGGUCUUCGGAUCGUAAAACUCUGUUAUUAGGGAAGAACAAAUGUGUAAGUAACUAUGCACGUCUUGACGGUACCUAAUCAGAAAGCCACGGCUAACUACGUG